GUGGGGAAUAUUGCGCAAUGGGGGAAACCCUGACGCAGCAAUGCCGCGUGAGUGAAGAAGGCCCUCGGGUCGUAAAGCUCUGUUGUAAGGGAAGAAGUCCGUUGGGCGAAUAGUCCAGCGGGAUGACGGUACCUUACCAGAAAGCACCGGCUAACUCCGUGCCAGCAGCCGCGGUAAUACGGAGGGUGCGAGCGUUGUUCGGAAUCAUUGGGCGUAAAGCGGGUGCAGGCGGUGAGGUGUGUCUGAUGUGAAAGCCCGGGGCUUAACUCCGGAAGUGCAUUGGAAACUGCUUCACUUGAGUCCUGGAGAGGGUAACGGAAUUCCUGGUGUAGAGGUGAAAUUCGUAGAUAUCAGGAGGAACACCGGUGGCGAAGGCGGUUACCUGGACAGUGACUGACGCUCAUACCCGAAAGCGUGGGGAGCAAACAGGAUUAGAUACCCUAGUAGUCC
rnacentral:rRNA from 1 species